AAAUGAAUAGACGGGGGCCCGCACAAGCAGCGGAGCGUGUGGUUUAAUUCGAGGCUACGCGAAGAACCUUACCUGGGUUUGACAUAUGGGUGGUAGGGAACCGAAAGGGGACCGACCUUCGGGAGCCCAUACAGGUGCUGCAUGGCUGUCGUCAGCUCGUGCCGUGAGGUGUUCGGUUAAGUCCGGUAACGAGCGCAACCCUCGUCGUUAGUUACAAGUGUCUAACGAGACUGCCCGUGACAAGCGGGAGGAAGGUGGGGAUGACGUCAAGUCAGCAUGGCCUUUAUAUCCAGGGCUACACACACGCUACAAUGGCCGGUACAAUGGGUCGCCAACCCGCGAGGGGGAGCCAAUCCAACAAAGCCGGUCUCAGUUCGGAUUGCAGGCUGCAACCCGCCUGCAUGAAGUCGGAGUUGCUAGUAACCGCGCGUCAGCACAGUGCGGUGAAUACGUUCCCGGGCCUUGUACACACCGCCCGU
rnacentral:rRNA from 1 species